AUUGAACGCUGGCGGCAGGCCUAAUACAUGCAAGUCGAGCGAGCGGCGGACGGGUGAGUAAUGUAUGGGGACUGCCCGAUAGAGGGGGAUAACUUUUGGAAACGCUAGCUAAUACCGCAUACUACUGGAGAACCCAUAGGGGAUUAGCUCGUAGGUGAGGUAAGGGCUCACCUAGGCGACGAUCCCUAGCUGGUCUGAGAGGAUGAUCAGCCACACUGGAACUGAGACACGGUCCAGACUCCUACGGAGGCAGCAGUGGGGAAUAUUGCACAAUGGGCGCAAGCCUGAUGCAGCCAUGCCGCGUGUAUGAAGAAGGCCCUAGGGUUGUAAAGUACUUUCAGUCGGGAGGCGGUACCGACAGAAGAAGCACCGGCUAACUCCGUGCCAGCAGCCGCGGUAAUUC
rnacentral:rRNA from 1 species